UCCCUUGUGGCUCAGCUGGUAAAGAAUCUGCCUGCAAUGUGGAAGAUCUGGGUUCAAUCCCCAGGUUGGGAA
rfam:TPA: Bos taurus chromosome 25, whole genome shotgun sequence.